GUCGACAACAUUUACGGCAUAGCGUUCUUCGGUGGUAGGAGUGUAAGUCUCAGAAAACGGCCUUGCAAGAAAUGCAUCCAAUAAAGAAGAUUUUCCAGCCUUCUUAGGUCCAAACACAAAGCACUGGAGAACAUUUCGGUCCAAUUGUUGCUUCUUGCGGUCCAAUCGCCGUUUCCUUGUCACACGAACAGCAGAUGCAGGAUCACCAGAGUAACCAAUGUAUAUCAGGUUCUCUAUGGUGUAAACUGGGUCUACAAGUGUCAUGAGGGACCACAGUGAUAAAAAGUCGUCAAUUGACAGUCCUCCCAUUGCGUUUCGCUCUGCAGAAUCUCUGUAUGGAGGUUCAUUCCAAGGACUCUCGGGUGCUGUAGAAAAUAGUUCUUCAAGAUCACGAGGCCGUAAGGCACCAUCACCAUCACCAUCAUAGAGUUCAAAUAUUCCCCUUAGAAACUCGAUGGCUUCAUUUGUCAGCUCCACACUCUGAUCUGGAGCUCUCUUUCCAAGAGCUGGGAUAAGUUCAUCCGAAAGCUUGAUAUCAUUAUCAUACCCAAACUUCCUGAGCACAGUCCAUGUUGUCUCCAAACGCCCCUUCUCUAUAAAUAAAGCAUGAAGAAAGAGGAACCCUGUCAAAGUGAGCCCACG
rnacentral:misc_RNA from 1 species